rnacentral:rRNA from 1 species
GCCUACGGCCAUACCACGUUGAAAGCCCCAGUUCUCGUCCGAUCACUGAAGUUAAACAACGUCGGGCUCUGUUAGUGCUUGGAUGCGUGACCACCUUGGGAACACCGAAUGCUGUAGACU